UACAGUAUAGCAACUCAAAAUGGAAUAGAAUUGACGCAAAUAGGAAAAUUGAGAGAUAGUAAUACGUUUGUGGUUAGUGGUUCUUAUUCAUACACUGGUGCGGAUGGUAGGCGAUACAAAGUCAAAUAUACUGCAGACGAAUUUGGCUACCAUCCCAUUACUGAACUUGAUAUUAAUAUUCCAAACAUUCAGGAUCAAGAUUCUUUACUACAACCGAUACGAUUAAUUGAUCUUCACAAAUUGAACAAUGUUCGUUAUAAUGUUGAUGAGAGUGAUAAGUUUCAAGAAAAUCAUGGAUAUCAUUAUUCGGAUCCAAAAGAUGAUUCAUUUAAGUCAUAUGCCUAUCCACCUCCCUCACCUGAUUUAAAUGCACCCCAGUUAUUUUUUUGAUGGCAGAAUAAUUAGUUGGAAAAGAAAAUUUAUAAUUAUAUUUGGGUAAUGAAAAAAACAAAAAACAAACUUGUGCAAAUUUUAAAAAUUAAUAAAACCGCUAUUUAUGUCAAAAAG